rnacentral:rRNA from 1 species
UCUGGUUGAUCCUGCCAGAGGUUACUGCUAUCGAGGUUCGACUAAGCCAUGCGAGUCGAAUGUAGCAAUACAUGGCGUACUGCUCAGUAACACGUGGACAACCUACCCUUAGGUCGGGGAUAAACCCGGGAAACUGGGUAUAAUACCCGAUAGAUCUCGGCUGCUGGAAUGCAUCGAGAUCCAAAGCUCCGGCGCCUAAGGAUGGGUCUGCGGCCUAUCAGGUAGUAGUGGGUGUAGCGUACCUACUAGCCUACGACGGGUACGGGUUGUGAGAGCAAGAGCCCGGAGAUGGAUUCUGAGACACGAAUCCAGGCCCUACGGGGUGCAGCAGGCGCGAAAACUUUACAAUGCUGGAAACAGCGAUAAGGGGACCUCGAGUGCCAGGUUACAAAUCUGGCUGUCGUGAUGCCUAAAAAGCAUUGCAUAGCAAGGGCCGGGCAAGACCGGUGCCAGCCGCCGCGGUAACACCGGCGGCUCGAGUGGUAACCGUUAUUAUUGGGUCUAAAGGGUCUGUAGCCGGCCGGAUAAGUCUCUUGGGAAAUCCAGCAGCUCAACUGUUGGGCUUUCAGGAGAUACUGUCUGGCUCGAGGCCGGGAGAGGUGAGAGGUACUUCAGGGGUAGGGGUGAAAUCUUGUAAUCCUUGAAGGACCACCAGUGGCGAAGGCGUCUCACCAGAACGGACCUGACGGCAAGGGACGAAAGCUAGGGGCACGAACCGGAUUAGAUACCCGGGUAGUCCUAGCCGUAAACGAUACUAGCUAGGUGUCGGCCACGGUGUGACCGUUGUCGGUGCCGUAGGGAAGCCGUGAAGCGAGCCACCUGGGAAGUACGGCCGCAAGGCUGAAACUUAAAGGAAUUGUUACCGGGACCGACAGCAAUAUGAAGGCCAGGCUGAAGACUUUGUCGGAUUAGCUGAGAGGUGGUGCAUGGCCGUCGUCAGUUCGUACUGUGAAGCAUCCUGUUAAGUCAGGCAACGAGCGAGACCCACGCCCACAGUUGCCAGCGUACUCUCCGGAGUGAUGGGUACACUGUGGGGACCGCCGCUGCUAAAGCGGAGGAAGGAAUGGGCAACGGUAGGUCAGUAUGCCCCGAAUAUCCCGGGCUACACGCGAGUUACAAUGGUUGGUACAAUGGGUAUCUACCCCGAAAGGGGAUGGAAAUCUCAUAAAGCCAAUCUUAGUUCGGAUUGAGGGCUGCAACUUGCCCUCAUGAAGCUGGAAUCCGUAGUAAUCGCGUUUCAACAGAACGCGGUGAAUACGUCCCUGCUCCUUGCACACACCGCCCGUCAAACCACCCGAGUAGGGUCUGAAUGAGAGCGCUUCCUUCGGAGGCGUUCGAAUUUGGGCUUUGCAAGGGGGGUUAAGUCGUAACAAGGUA